rnacentral:lncRNA from 1 species
UGAGCAGGCUCUCUUCCAUCUGCCCACCAACUUUUCAAAUUACUUUUACCCAUCUUCAAAAUUACAUCUGCUUUUAGCAAGAAUUACCGACGUGAUAAAGAUGGGAGUGUUCACUAUGCAAGGGCAGGGUGUCCCCUGCUGCUCCAGCAUCAGAUUUGGGACACCACCACCCCCGCCCCACCAGAGGGCAUCACCUAUGCCUAGCAAUUACGCCCCCGUGGCUAAAUUAAACUCCCAUUGGCUAAAUUAGGCCCGAAGAGAGGGGCAGCUGCUGCUAAGCUGUGUAUGUUGUCCCCCUAGGACUUCCACCGUUUGCUGAGCUCCACAUGACAACAGCAGACCACAGGCCGCACUGAUCCCACCUGGCUUACAGGUGCUGUCACACAGGCUCCCUUGCUCCUUCAUUCAACCAUUGUUUACAUUUCGUUCAGGACUGCUGACUAAACACUUUCAAGCACAGCGGACCCUUGAACAACGCAGGUUCAGACUGUACAGGUCCAUCCACAGGGAUGUUUUUCAAUCAGUUACACCAAGUGUCCCUGCCUCUCCUGCCUCCCUUCCCACCUCCUCCAUGUCUUCCUCUCUGUCACCCUGAGGCAGCAAGACCAGCCCCUCCUCCUCAGCCACUCAACGUGAAGACAACGAGGAUGAAGACUUCUAUGAUAAUCCACUUCCACUUAGUAAAUACUUUCUCUUAUGAUAUUCUUAAUGACAUUUUAUUUUCCCUACCUUAGUUUAUUC